rnacentral:rRNA from 1 species
CACCUCUUGUUACACAAAAUAUAAGAGGCCCCGCCUGCCCUGUGACAAUAAGUUUAACGGCCGCGGUAUUUUAACCGUGCGAAGGUAGCGUAAUCACUUGUCUUUUAAAUGGAGACCAGUAUGAAUGGCAUCACGAGGGCUUAACUGUCUCCCCUCUCCAGUCAAUGAAAUUGACCUUCCCGUGCAGAGGCGGGAAUAUUAAUAUAAGACGAGAAGACCCUGUGGAGCUUUAGACCUAAAAUAAACCACGUCUAGUAUACUGAAAUACCAGCAAAAGCCUAAUGGUUACAUAUUGAAGUGUCUUUGGUUGGGGCGACCGCGGGGUAAAACACAACCCCCUUGUGGACUGGGGAUAUUAUCCCUAAUACUCAGAGCCUCUACUCCAAGUAACAGAAAUUCUGACUUUCUGAUCCGGUAUUACCGAUCAACGAACCGAGUUACCCCAGGGAUAACAGCGCAAUCCCCUCUCAGAGCCCUUAUCGACGAGGGGGUUUACGACCUCGAUGUUGGAUCAGGACAUCCUAAUGGUGCAGCCGCUAUUAAGGGUUCGUUUGUUCAACGAUUAAAGUCCU